UAAUUUGUACGACAGUAAAAA
rnacentral:piRNA from 1 species